AGUUGUUGGGUUCUGCAUGUCGUUGUUCUGUCUAUUUCUAUUUGAUUUAGCACUUAUUUGUUGGGUUUUUGUGAAAGAUUGUUGGGUGUUUGUCUGAUUUGGUGUUUUUGUGACAGAUUCUUGGGUGUGCGACUGAGUUGGGCGAGGAGAAGGAGGCUGAUUGUGGAGGAAAUGGGAGAGGAAUCAAAGCGAAAGAGAGUGAUAAAAUUUCCUAGAGACUGAAGGGGUUGCUGAUAGUUUUUUGAUUCGACCAAGAGGAGGAGCAUGAUUCUGGUGGUUUGAUGGCUGUUCUGCAUCUAGCUGGAAAGAGUACUCCUAUUGUCUUUCAGUUUUGGAUGAUAGGAUUUUGAAUAGAGACAAGCAGAGAGGAUAUUUAGUUUUUGGGAACAAGAAAGAAAGAAAGAGGGUGAGGU